rnacentral:rRNA from 1 species
AUUCCUACGGGAGGCAGCAGGGGGGAAUAUUGGACAAUGGACCAAAAGUCUGAUCCAGCAAUUCUGUGUGCACGAUGAAGGUCUUCGGAUUGUAAAGUGCUUUCAGUUGGGAAGAAGAAAGUGACGGUACCAACAGAAGAAGCGACGGCUAAAUACGUGCCAGCAGCCGCGGUAAUAAU